rnacentral:rRNA from 1 species
GACGAACGCUGGCGGCGUGCUUAACACAUGCAAGUCGAACGAUGAACCCGGAGCUUGCUCCGGCGGAUUAGUGGCGAACGGGUGAGUAACACGUGAGUAACCUGCCCUUGACUCUGGGAUAACUGCUAGAAAUGGUAGCUAAUACCGGAUACGACCCUCGGUGGCAUCACCAGGGGGUGGAAAGAAUUUCGGUCAAGGAUGGACUCGCGGCCUAUCAGCUAGUUGGUGAGGUAACGGCUCACCAAGGCGACGACGGGUAGCCGGCCUGAGAGGGUGACCGGCCACACUGGGACUGAGACACGGCCCAGACUCCUACGGGAGGCAGCAGUGGGGAAUAUUGCACAAUGGGCGCAAGCCUGAUGCAGCAACGCCGCGUGAGGGAUGACGGCCUUCGGGUUGUAAACCUCUUACAGCACCGACGAAGCGCAAGUGACGGUAGGUGCAGAAGAAGGACCGGCCAACUUCGUGCCAGCCGCCGCCGUAA